UACGAAGGGUGCAAGCGUUACUCGGAAUUACUGGGCGUAAAGGGCGCGUAGGCGGUUCGUCAAGUCCUGUGUGAAAUCCCCCGGCUCAACUGGGGAACUGCACAGGAAACUAGCGGGCUUGAGUUCGGGAGAGGGAAGCGGAAUUCCGGGUGUAGCGGUGAAAUGCGUAGAUAUCCGGAGGAACACCGGUGGCGAAGGCGGCUUCCUGGACCGACACUGACGCUGAGGCGCGAAAGCUAGGGGAGCAAACGGG
rnacentral:rRNA from 1 species